rnacentral:rRNA from 1 species
ACGGGGGGCUUUAACAUGAAGUCGAGCGGUACUAUGGUAGGUUCGGGCGAAGGGGUUGGCGGGGCGGGUGAGUAAUGCUUGGGGAUAUGCCUUUUGGUGGGGGAAACAGUUGGAAACGACUGCUAAUACCGCAUAAUGUCUGAGGACCAAAGCGGGGGACCUUCGGGCCUCGUGCCAGAAGAUUAGCCCAAGUGAGAUUAGCUAGUUGGUGGGGUAAAGGCCUACCAAGGCGACGAUCUCUAGCUGGUUUGAGAGGAUGAUCAGCCACACUGGGACUGAGACACGGCCUAGACUCCUACGGGAGGCAGCAGUGGGGAAUAUUGCACAAUGGGGGAAACCCUGAUGCAGCCAUGCCGCGUGUGUGAAGAAGGCCUUCGGGUUGUAAAGCACUUUCAGUGGCGAGGAAAGGGUGAUGCUUAAUACGUAUCAUCUGUGACGUUACCCACAGAAGAAGCACCGGCUAACUCCGUGCCAGCCGCCGCGGCAAUACGGAGGGUGCGAGCGUUAAUCGGAAUUACUGAGCGUAAAGCGUGCGUAGACAGAUAGUUAAGCGAGAUGUGAAAUCCCGGGGCUCAACCUCGGAACUGCAUUUCGAACUGGCUGUCUAGAGUCUUGUAGAGGGUGCUGGAAUUUCCAGUGUAGCGGUGAAAUGCGUAGAGAUUGGAAGGAACAUCAGUGGCAAAGGCGGCCACCUGGACAAAGACUGACGCUGAGGCACUAAAAGCGUGGGGAGCGAACAGGAUUAGAUACCCUGGUAGUCCACGCCGUAUACGAUGUCCACUAGCUGUUUGAGUUCUUGAAACGUGCGUAGAGUAGCUAACGCCCGCAAAGUUGACCGCCUGGGGAGUACGGCCGCAAGGUUAAAACUCAAAUAUAUAG